rnacentral:rRNA from 1 species
AGAGUUUGAUCAUGGCUCAGGACGAACGCUGGCGGCGUGCCUAGUACAUGCAAGUCGAGCGAACAGAAAAGGAGCUUGCUCCUUUGACGUAGCGGCGGACGGGUGAGUAACACGUGGGCAACCUACCCUAUAGUUUGGGAUAACUCCGGGAAACCGGGGCUAAUACCGAAUAAUCCCUUUUGCUUCAUGGUGAAAGACUGAAAGACGGUUUCGGCUGUCGCUAUAGGAUGGGCCCGCGGCGCAUUAGCUAGUUGGUGAGGUAACGGCUCACCAAGGCGACGAUGCGUAGCCGGCCUGAGAGGGUGAUCGGCCACACUGGGACUGAGACACGGCCCAGACUCCUACGGGAGGCGGCAGUAGGGAAUCUUCCACAAUGGGCGAAAGCCUGAUGGGGCAACGCCGCGUGAGUGAAGAAGGUUUUCGGAUCGUAAAACUCUGUUGUAAGGGAAGAACAAGUACAGUAGUAACUGGCUGUACCUUGACGGUACCUUAUUAGAAAGCCACGGCUAACUACGUGCCAGCAGCCGCGGUAAUACGUAGGUGGCAAGCGUUGUCCGGAAUUAUUGGGCGUAAAGCGCGCGCAGGCGGUCCUUUAAGUCUGAUGUGAAAGCCCACGGCUCAACCGUGGAGGGUCAUUGGAAACUGGGGGACUUGAGUGCAGAAGAGGAAAGUGGAAUUCCAAGUGUAGCGGUGAAAUGCGUAGAGAUUUGGAGGAAC